rnacentral:tRNA from 1 species
AGAAAAAGUAAUUAAAGUUCAUAAUAUAACAUUGUCAAAGUUAAAUUACCUUAACGGUCUUUUUCUA